rnacentral:rRNA from 1 species
UACGUAGGGUGCAAGCGUUGUCCGGAAUUACUGGGCGUAAAGAGCUCGUAGGCGGCUUGUCACGUCGGGUGUGAAAGCCCGGGGCUUAACCCCGGGUCUGCAUUCGAUACGGGCUGGCUAGAGUGUGGUAGGGGAGAUCGGAAUUCCUGGUGUAGCGGUGAAAUGCGCAGAUAUCAGGAGGAACACCGGUGGCGAAGGCGGAUCUCUGGGCCAUUACUGACGCUGAGGAGCGAAAGCGUGGGGAGCGAACAGG